UACGUAUGGUGCAAGCGUUAUCCGGAUCUACUGGGUGUAAAGGGAGCGCAGGCGGCACGGCAAGCCUGAUGUGAAAGCCCGCGGCCCAACCGCGGGACUGCAUUGGGAACUACCGGGCUGGAGUGCCGGAGAGGUAGGCGGAAUUCCUAGUGUAGCGGUGAAAUGCGUAGAUAUUAGGAGGAACACCAGUGGCGAAGGCGGCCUACUGGACGGUGACUGACGCUGAGGCUCGAAAGCGUGGGGAGCAAACAGG
rnacentral:rRNA from 1 species